rnacentral:rRNA from 1 species
GAUGAACGCUGGCGGCGUGCCUAAUACAUGCAAGUCGAGCGAACAGACGAGGAGCUUGCUCCUUCGACGUUAGCGGCGGACGGGUGAGUAACACGUAGGUAACCUACCUAUAAGACUGGGAUAACUUCGGGAAACCGGAGCUAAUACCGGAUAAUAUUUCGAACCGCAUGGUUCGAUAGUGAAAGAUGGCUUUGCUAUCACUUAUAGAUGGACCUGCGCCGUAUUAGCUAGUUGGUAAGGUAACGGCUUACCAAGGCAACGAUACGUAGCCGACCUGAGAGGGUGAUCGGCCACACUGGAACUGAGACACGGUCCAGACUCCUACGGGAGGCAGCAGUAGGGAAUCUUCCGCAAUGGGCGAAAGCCUGACGGAGCAACGCCGCGUGAGUGAUGAAGGCCUUCGGAUCGUAAAACUCUGUUAUUAGGGAAGAACAAACGUGUAAGUAACUGUGCACGUCUUGACGGUACCUAAUCAGAAAGCCACGGCUAACUACGUG